rnacentral:tRNA from 2 species
CGUAGCGUUUCCAGUUGGUUGGUGCGGACUCUGACUCCGCUAGUCCUGGUUCGAAUCCAGGUCCCCCAGCCA